rnacentral:misc_RNA from 1 species
UUAAGUUCAGCGGGUAUCCCUACCUGAUCCGAGGUCAACCAUUGAAAAAACAUGUGGUUGUUUGGCUGGGACGCAGCGAGAAGCUUCCAAAGCGGGAUUGAAAAUCUUGCUACGCUUGAAGUCUCACUGGACCGCCACCGAUUUCCGGGUUCGUCGCGGGGACGGGACCCAAUACCAAGCAAUGCUUGAGGGUUGCAAUG